GAAACCACAGAGCUCAAACAGACUAAGAGACAGCUGAAUACCUUACAUUAUGUGAUCCUCAUCAUGUGACUCUCUUUUGUUAGCUAAGUCAUAUUUUUAUUCCAAAAACAACUCCGAACCAUAUCCCUUGGGAAAGGCUGAGACUUAACCAACAGCAGCCCUAGAAGCGUCCUCCCUGGGAGUAGGGAAGGUGAGGUCCCGGAGAACAGAGACUUUGCAAGAGUGCAGGCUGAGCAGGAAUUGCUGUGAAGUCUGCCCUUAGGGUGCGAUCUGGCCAAUGCUUCUUAGCCUGUGCUUGGCACAAAAGAAACUCAGGCUCCUAUAUAACAUUUUACUUUCACCCCUAAGGAAGUAUUAGCUCUUUAGAACUCACCUGUAUUUC
rnacentral:lncRNA from 1 species